GAUGAACGCUGGCGGCGUGCCUAAUACAUGCAAGUCGAGCGAAUGGAUUGAGAGCUUGCUCUUAUGAAGUUAGCGGCGGACGGGUGAGUAACACGUGAGUAACCUGCCCAUAAGACUGGGAUAACUCCGGGAAACCGGGGCUAAUACCGGAUAACAUUUUGAACCGAAUGGUUCGAAAUUGAAAGGCGGCUUCGGCUGUCACUUAUGGAUGGACCCGCGUCGCAUUAGCUAGGUGGUGAGGUAACGGCUCACCAAGGCAACGAUGCGUAGCCGACCUGAGAGGGUGAUCGGCCACACUGGGACUGAGACACGGCCCAGACUCCUACGGGAGGCAGCAGUAGGGAAUCUUCCGCAAUGGACGAAAGUCUGACGGAGCAACGCCGCGUGAGUGAUGAAGGCUUUCGGGUCGUAAAACUCUGUUGUUAGGGAAGAACAAGUGCUAGUUGAAUAAGCUGGCACCUUGACGGUACCUAACCAGAAAGCCACGGCUAACUACGUGCCAGCAGCCGCCGCUG
rnacentral:rRNA from 1 species